UACGUAGGGGGCGAGCGUUGUCCGGAGUUACUGGGCGUAAAGGGCAUGCAGGGCGGUCCGACACGUUUUGUGUGACAGCGGGUGGCUUAACUACCCGAGGAUACGAAAGACGGUUGGACUUGAGGACUCGAGAGGGACACGGAAUUCCGGGUGGAGUGGUGAAAUGCGGUAGAGAUCCGGAGGAACACCGAAGGCGAAGGCGAGUGUCCUGGCGAGGUGACUGACGCUGAGGUGCGAAAGCCAGGGGAGCGAACGGG
rnacentral:rRNA from 1 species